rnacentral:lncRNA from 1 species
CAAGUACCAGCCACACCGUAAGGCUGCACUUCCCUUGGCUGAACGAUCGGCCCCAGUACAAGCUGUCCUUUGAAAACAGAGAUCGGGACCCUCUUGACCUGAUCUCUUUCGCCGCCUGUGCCCUUUUUUUUAAUGUCACCAGAACCAGUAGGAGUUUCCGUCGUGCGUAUCCCUACCCUUUGGCACUGGCCGUGUCUCUCUGGUUCUAGCGACUAGGGCUGCACGGUAGGACUGUCAAGCUCCUUCCUCCACAUAGAUUCCAUGAAAAACCUAAAAUUAGCAUGUUUCAUUGACAAUAAGCUGCUUUUUUGCCGGGUUUGUAGGGAGGAUACGGUAACCUCUUUGUAUUAAUCUAUGUUGGGGGUUCGGAAGUCGUGUUCCCAAGAACUAACGCGAUCUCCUAGUUCCUAGUACCAUAAGUGAACUCUUUUGGUCAGAUCCUAGACACGGAGUGGGCUAAGUAUAUACAGGGAACUUGACAAACAUUACUAGAUUUAUAUACAUGACAAAGACGUCACGAUUUAGAUCCGUUGGUGGGGGGUUAACAUCUUGGCGUGAAAACUCAGAAACGGUUUUUCUUCAGAAAGGUCGGAACACUCACUCGUUCUUGCUGUUCGAUAAUGUGCAGGUGUACACGCGCCCUGGCCCUCAGUGAGAUUCAGUAAAAUUGUCACUACCGUUCAUGCUUGUGGACCCGCAAUCAACACGGAGCAAAACGGUCUGGGACGACGGCGGCACCUGUGUACAUGCGCCCGUUGCACUGUCAAGGAUGGAUAGAGUCGUAGACAUGGCGCCAUCGGGGGAAAACGCGGAGGUCCAAGUGGAAGGCUGCAGUGGCUGCUGGUUCAGAACAACUCAGCAAGAUCCGGGACCGAAUGCAAGAUCCCGUGAAUAUCUCUGUCACUGUUGGCGUUUGCAAACGCGAGUCAAAAAACCUAAGAAAGUGGUGUGGCAUGACGCUUCUGCGUUUUAUCAAGCAAGUGACACAUGAUACGCCGCGGGAGUUGAAAUCCAUUAGAAGGCUGAUAUGACGGUCUGGUAUUGCCGGUGUUCACUACUUCCAAGCUGACAGGGAGGUAGGUGCCAUGCCUAUGUCGGAUCCGUGUGCACACUGAGACAAGCGAACACAGUCAAGAAGCUAUUCGCCUUCCAUGAGGGGAAUGUGCCUCUGCGCUGCGCAAAUCAGGCAUCCUGCUUCAGAGGCCCCAAGAGCCACAGCCGUCGUGCGUCAACGUGCAC